rnacentral:rRNA from 1 species
AUGUCCCGUGCUGUUGUUCCGUUGAAUUUUAAUGCGUUCCUUGAGAAAGCAAAGUUGAAAGAUGAUGGUAGAAAUUACACGGACUGGGUCCGUAACUUGAGGAUUAUCCUCAUUGCUGCAUGGAAGAAUUACGUCGUGGAAGCACCGCUAGCUGCCAGACCUGCUGCAGGAGCAACAUCAGAUGUUAUGAACGUCUGGCAGAGAAAAGCUGAUGACUACUCGAUAGUUCAGUGUGCCAUGCUUUACGGCUUAGAACCGGGACUUCAACGACGUUUUGAACAUCAUGGAGCAUAUGAGAUGUUCCAGGAGUUGAAGCUAAUAUUUCAAGCAAAUGCUCGGAUUGAGAGAUAUGAAGUCUCCAAUAAGUUCUACAGCUGUAAGAUGGAGGAGAAUAGUUCUGUCAGUGAGCAUAUACUCAAAAUGUCUGGGUAUAACAAUCACUUGAUUCAACUGGGAGUUAACCUUCCGGAUGAUAGCGUCAUUGACAGAAUUCUUCAAUCACUGCCACCAAGCUACAAGAGCUUCGUGAUGAACUAUAACAUGCAAGGGAUGGAUAAGACAAUUCCUGAGCUCUUCGCAAUGCUAAAGGCUGCGGAGGUAGAAAUCCAGAAGGAGCAUCAAGUGUUGAUGGUCAACAAGACCACCAGUUUCAAGAAAAAUGGCAAAGGGAAGAAGAAGGGGAACUUCAAGAAGAACAGCAAACAAGUUGCUGCUCAGAAGAAGAAACCCAAGUCUGGACCUAAGCCUGAGACUGAGUGCUUCUACUGCAAACAGACUGGUCACUCGAAACGGAACUGCCCCAAGUAUUUGGCGGAUAAGAAGGAUGGCAAGGUGAACAAAGGGACUACGGAUUAA